rnacentral:lncRNA from 1 species
AUGACAUCAGGACCCAAAAGGACCGUGAUGGGGAACCAAGAAAGCUCAGGGGUCAGGGGACCUCGAGGAGGGCAGGGAGGGUGCCCCCAAGCUGCCCCCAGGAACCCACAUCUCCUCUGCUCCCUGGGGACCUUGUUCUGCGAUGUGGAAUCCACGUUUCUCACAAAGUACCCAGUGCUCAUUCACCAACCACGCCACCUUACUCUUUCCUGCCCUUCUCUGAACCCUCUCUCAGCACCUCCUACAGCCAUUCUUCAAAUGUCACCGAUCCUCAACACACUCAAUCCCACCCAAACCCAAGCCCUUCAUGCGAACCCCAUUCGUUCUCUGUCCUGGAUCCACCCCGGCCCCUCCCCCAGCCGCUCCCGGCUAGCAGGCAGCCUCCCUCUGGCAAGACCAGGAAACCAUGGCUGCCUCCCACAUGGCCCGCCACGCCCGCCCCACCCGUUCCUAUCGUCCUCCAGGAAGUGGUGGUCUUCAUCGGAAACGCCAUUCAGACGCUGCCCCGACCCCUCCCUGGUGCCCCCCCAGGAAGAGGCCCACACUGGCUGGAUGUCAGACCGUGAGAUGACAUGGUGCACUAUCCGCUAUCGUAGCACCUUUACCACACCCGUACCCCCAUCACUAUGCCCCCAGCACCACCACUGCCCCUCACCACCACCACAGCCACCAUUACGCCAACACCUCCCUGCCACUGUCCCCCAUCGCCACAUCACGACCUACUAUCAUACAUCUGCCUGUCACCCCACUACACGCCACCACAGUGCCCAUUACCAUCAACCUCUCCACCAUCAACACGCACGCCUGCCCCAGUACCACACAGCCACCAUCAUUCAUCACCACUCUAUCCCACCACCACUGUGCCAUCACCACCCACUCAGCCUUGUAGCCAACACCUCUUCCUGCUGCCACCACCUGAUCACUAUCACCUUUUGCCACUAUCGCCCCAUCACGGUCACCCCUUCCCAUCACUUACACCUACAGCCCACACCAUCACCAAGGUCAAUGUGA